rnacentral:rRNA from 1 species
UACGAGGGGGGCAAAUGUUGUUCGGAAUCACUGGGCGUAAAGGGAGCGUAGGCGGGUUUUUAAGUUAGGUGUUUAAUCCCGGGGCCCAACCCCGGACCGGCACUUAAAACUGGGAAUCUUGAAUAGUGGAGAGGUCGGUGGAAUUGGGGGUGUAGCGGUGGAAUGCGUAGAGAUCCCCAAGAACACCAGUUGCGAAGGCGGCCGACUGGACACAUAUUGACGCUAAGGCUCGAAAGCAUGGGGAGCAAACAGG